rnacentral:rRNA from 1 species
AGCGAACGCUGGCGGCAGGCUUAACACAUGCAAGUCGAGCGGGCAUCUUCGGGUGUCAGCGGCGGACGGGUGAGUAACGCGUGGGAACGUGCCUUCUGGUUCGGAAUAACUCAGGGAAACUUGAGCUAAUACCGGAUACGCCCUUUUGGGGAAAGGUUUACUGCCGGAAGAUCGGCCAGCGUCUGAUUAGCUAGUUGGUGGGGUAACGGCCUACCAAGGCGACGAUCAGUAGCUGGUCUGAGAGGAUGAUCAGCCACACUGGGACUGAGACACGGCCCAGACUCCUACGGGAGGCAGCAGUGGGGAAUAUUGGACAAUGGGGGCAACCCUGAUCCAGCCAUGCCGCGUGAGUGAUGAAGGCCUUAGGGUUGUAAAGCUCUUUUAUCCGGGACGAUAAUGACGGUACCGGAGGAAUAAGCCCCGGCUAANUUCNUGCCAGCCGCCGCCGUAA